AGGAUAAUAGUUAAUUUAUAACAUUUAAUUUGCAAUUAAAAAUAUUUGUUUUACAUUUUGUCUUA
rnacentral:tRNA from 1 species